CUAGCCGCAGCCUGGAGCACCUGAGGUAGCUUCCCUCUUGGCUGCUCUCCCCUCCCUGCUCACUCCGAGGUGGUGGGCAAUUAGGACCAGGAUGAACAUGGAGGAGGGAGUGAGAGAACCCGCCUUGCCCUCGGGAAGUGCCCAA
ensembl:miRNA eca-mir-9075 eca-mir-9075